CUCCAUAUCCUUGUGUUGAAAAUUGUGUCUCUGCAGGUAUUAGUUUAGCCAUUCAGCUUGUCCAUGUGCCAAAUGUAGAAGGUAUGUUUUUUUUCUGAGAACGCACCAAUGCGGUUAUGUAAUUCACUUGCAGGAGAGCUGGCUGAACUCCCUACCAACUCAGGACAAUUCCAGUGAAGAACAAUGGAAUUAUGUAAACACGGAUGUCUGUAACUGAGGUCAGUCCUAUCAAUACCUAACACUAGAAUUGCCUCCAAAAGAAGCCACUUCUUUAUCCACUCGUUCUGCUACUCUGCUCCUUGUAUUCACUUCUGUUGUGCUGACUUGGGAAUGGGUUGGAUUGUCUAGUGAACAGAGCUGGGGAAACUGCUCAGAGAAGAACGUACUAAUAUGCCAUGCAAGUGAAUGUAUACUUCAUGGUAGCAUCCAUGUCUGAAGGUUGGAAUACAGCUCAGUAUGUCCAAAGCUAUUUGUUAUUUGGAAGAAGAAAGAGAAUCAGCACCAUCCACAUUUUCUGGAAUAGAACACAGGUGCCCAGUGAACCUUCAACAGAAGAAAAUGUUUAAAGCCCUGAUCCAUCAUUUGGAACUACUGGGAUGAGUGAAGAGUGUAGAACCCAGCCAUCAAAGAAAAAGAGCACCAGAUUCAUCCUGGCUUGUCCCCAUAAAAUGUGCCUCUGUGUGCAGUCAAAGGGAAGUGAUCUGCAACUAAUUCCUUGGGAGAAAAGUUCAUGGGCCUGCAUAGCCUAGGUUCAAACUUGGAUUUAUUUGUAACAUAAUAAUCUAGAACUAACUAUACAGUCUGCCUCUUUCAUGUCUGACCUAUUUACAUUAUAUCUUUUAACACCCCUGUAAGCAUAGUGUUUAAGAAUGACUUUCAGUACAGCAAUAACUUAUUAAAUCUCAUAUAUAUCAGAGAAGUUUGGGAGUUUAAAGGAAGGAGGCAGCAUUAAAAAGACAAGGAAAUGCUGUUCUACUGAUGAAGACUGAGUGUGGUGCUGCACAAAGA
rnacentral:lncRNA from 1 species